GGCGUGCUAUAAUGCAGUCGAGCGGACAGAUGGGAGCUUGCUCCCUGAUGUUAGCGGCGGACGGGUGAGUAACACGUGGGUAACCUGCCUGUAAGACUGGGAUAACUCCGGGAAACCGGGGCUAAUACCGGAUGGUUGUUUGAACCGCAUGGUUCAGACAUAAAAGGUGGCUUCGGCUACCACUUACAGAUGGACCCGCGGCGCAUUAGCUAGUUGGUGAGGUAACGGCUCACCAAGGCGACGAUGCGUAGCCGACCUGAGAGGGUGAUCGGCCACACUGGGACUGAGACACGGCCCAGACUCCUACGGGAGGCAGCAGUAGGGAAUCUUCCGCAAUGGACGAAAGUCUGACGGAGCAACGCCGCGUGAGUGAUGAAGGUUUUCGGAUCGUAAAGCUCUGUUGUUAGGGAAGAACAAGUGCCGUUCAAAUAGGGCGGCACCUUGACGGUACCUAACCAGAAAGCCACGGYUAACUACGUGCCAGCAGCCGCGGUAAUACGUAGGUGGCAAGCGUUGUCCGGAAUUAUUGGGCGUAAAGGGCUCGCAGGCGGUUUCUUAAGUCUGAUGUGAAAGCCCCCGGCUCAACCGGGGAGGGUCAUUGGAAACUGGGGAACUUGAGUGCAGAAGAGGAGAGUGGAAUUCCACGUGUAGCGGUGAAAUGYGUAGAGAUGUGGAGGAACACCAGUGGCGAAGGCGACUCUCUGGUCUGUAACUGACGCUGAGGAGCGAAAGCGUGGGGAGCGAACAGGAUUAGAUACCCUGGUAGUCCACGCCGUAAACGAUGAGUGCUAAGUGUUAGGGGGGUUUCCGCCCCUUAGUGCUGCAGCUAACGCAUUAAGCACUCCGCCUGGGGAGUACGGUCGCAAGACUGAAACUCAAAGGAAUUGACGGGGGCCCGCACAAGCGGUGGAGCAUGUGGUUUUAAUUCGAAGCAACGCGAAGAACCCUUACCAGGUCUUGACAUCCUCUGACAAUCCUAGAGAUAGGACGUCCCCUUCGGGGGCAGAGUGACAGGUGGUGCAUGCCUGUCGUCAGCUCGUGUCGUGAGAUGUUGGGUUAAGUCCCGCAACGAGCGCAAACCUUGA
rnacentral:rRNA from 1 species